AGCUACUAAGAGCGAAUGGUGGAUGCCUUGACUGGUAAAGGCGAUGAAGGACGUACUAGACUGCGAUAAGCUACGGGGAGCUGUCAAGAAGCUUUGAUCCGUAGAUUUCCGAAUGGGGCAACCCAAUGUAUAGAGAUAUACAUUACCUAUAUAGGAGCGAACGAGGGGAAUUGAAACAUCUUAGUACCCUCAGGAAAAGAAAUCAAUAGAGAUUGCGUCAGUAGCGGCGAGCGAAAGCGCAAGAGGGCAAACCCAGUGCUUGCACUGGGGGUUGUAGGACUGCAAUGUGCAAGAGGUAAGUUUAGCAGAACAUUCUGGAAAGUAUAGCCAUAGAGGGUGAUAGUCCCGUAUGCGAAAAACAAACCUUAGCUAGCAGUAUCCUGAGUAGGGCGGGACACGAGAAAUCCUGUCUGAAGCUGGGUCGACCACGAUCCAACCCUAAAUACUAAUACCAGAUCGAUAGUGCACAAGUACCGUGAGGGAAAGGUGAAAAGAACUGAGGUGAUCAGAGUGAAAUAGAACCUGAAACCAUUUGCUUACAAUCAUUCAGAGCCCUAUGUAGC
rnacentral:rRNA from 1 species